rnacentral:rRNA from 1 species
GACGAACGCUGGCGGCGUGCCUAAUACAUGCAAGUCGAACGCACUCUCGUUUAGAUUGAAGGAGCUUGCUCCUGAUUGAUAAACAUUUGAGUGAGUGGGCGGACGGGUGAGUAACACGUGGGUAACCUGCCCUAAAGUGGGGGAUAACAUUUGGAAACAGAUGCUAAUACCGCAUAAAACCUAACACCGCAUGGUGUAGGGUUGAAAGAUGGUUUCGGCUAUCACUUUAGGAUGGACCCGCGGUGCAUUAGUUAGUUGGUGAGGUAAAGGCUCCCAAGACCGUGAUGCAUAGCCG